rnacentral:rRNA from 1 species
AUUGAACGCUGGCGGCAUGCUUUACACAUGCAAGUCGAACGGCAGCACGGGUGCUUGCACCUGGUGGCGAGUGGCGGACGGGUGAGUAAUGCAUCGGAACGUGUCCCUAAAAGUGGGGGAGUAACGCAUCGAAAGAUGUGCUAAUAACCGCAUAUUCUCUGAGGAGGAAAGUAGGGAGUCGAAAGACCUUAUGCUUUUGGUAGCGGCCGAUGGCUGAUUAGCUAGUUGGUAGGGUAAAGGCCUACCAAGGCGAUGAUCAGUAGCUGUUCUGAGAGGAAGAUCAGCCACACUGGGACUGAGACACGGCCCAGACUCCUACGGGAGGCAGCAGUCGAGAAUCUUCGGCAAUGGGGGAAACCCGUGACCGAGCGACGCCGCGUGC